GGGAUAUUGGUCAAUGGUGGCAACACUGAACCAGCCAUGCCGCGUGAGGGAAUGAGGCCCUACGGGUCGUGAACCUCUUUUGUGCGGGGACAAGGACGGGCACGUGAUGCCCGUUUGAGGGUACCGCGCGAAUAAGCGUCGGCUAACUCCGUGCCAGCAGCCGCGGUAAUACGGAGGACGCGAGCGUUAUCCGGAUUCAUUGGGUUUAAAGGGUGCGCAGGCGGCCUGUCAAGUCAGCGGUGAAAUCCCGGGGCCCAACCCCGGAAGUGCCGUUGAUACUGUCGGGCUGGAAUGCGGUCGAGGCGGGCGGAACGUGGCGUGUAGCGGUGAAAUGCGUAGAUAUGCCACAGAACGCCGAUAGCGGAGGCAGCUCGCCAGGCCUGCAUUGACGCUCGGGCACGAAAGCGUGGGGAUCGAACA
rnacentral:rRNA from 1 species